UACGGGAGGCAGCAGUGGGGAAUAUUGCACAAUGGGCGCAAGCCUGAUGCAGCCAUGCCGCGUGUAUGAAGAAGGCCUUCGGGUUGUAAAGUACUUUCAGUCGUGAGGAAGGUGUUAAGGUUAAUAACCUUAGCAAUUGACGUUAGCGACAGAAGAAGCACCGGCUAACUCCGUGCCAGCAGCCGCGGUAAUACGGAGGGUGCGAGCGUUAAUCGGAAUUACUGGGCGUAAAGGGCACGCAGGCGGUUAAUUAAGUUGGAUGUGAAAUCCCCGGGCUUAACCUGGGAAUGGCAUUCAAGACUGGUUAGCUAGAGUCUUGUAGAGGGGGUAGAAUUCCAUGUGUAGCGGUGAAAUGCGUAGAGAUGUGGAGGAAUACCGGUGGCGAAAGGCGGCCCCUGGACAAAGGACUGACGCUCAUGUGCGAAAGCGUGGGGAGCA
rnacentral:rRNA from 1 species